GGUAGCCUCUACUGGAACCUAAUGAUCGGGGCCUUCCAGGAUUCACACCCAGUGUGAAAGCGUUUCCUGAAAGUGUGAGCUCUUGUUUGUAACUAAUCAUAGAUUCUAAUCAGUAGAGCAAAGGUUGUGGCAUGUCACCACUUCCAAGAUUAUGAUUAAGUGCUAAAUUCUCUCCUGUUAUUGUGGUCUUUUCUUUGAUCCCUGCUCUCUCAUUCUGAUAAAAAGAAGCUGUGAGAUGAAGAAGCUGAAGAAGCCGAUGUAGCAAGGAACCAAAGCCAGUACUGGUCAGCAAGCAGCCAGCUAGGACCUAAGGCCCUUAGUCUGACACCUUGCAAGAAGAUGAAUUCUACUAAAAUCCUUGUGAAGUUGGAAGUGGAUUCUUCCCCAGUAGAAAAUCAAAUGGACUGAAUACUUUGGCCCUGAUUUCACUGCUUCCUGGUCCUAGGUGAAUUCUUAAAAUUUAGAUUGAGUUUCUCAGCAAACUCCCUAUAUCUUCUAAGACAAAAGUUUCUAUGGCUGUGCAUUUUCUCCUCAAGCAUAAUCCUUCAUUUACUCCUGCAUCCUAAGAAAUG